rnacentral:rRNA from 1 species
UGGGUGGUAAUGCCGGAUGCUCCACNNNNCCUCAUGGGAUUGUGGGAAAGGGUUACNGGAAUGGGAUGGGGUCGCGUCCUAUCAGCUUGUUGGUGGGGUAACGGCCCACCAAGGCUUCGACGGGUAGCCGGCCUGAGAGGGCGACCGGCCACAUUGGGACUGAGAUACGGCCCAGACUCCUACGGGAGGCAGCAGUGGGGAAUAUUGCACAAUGGGCGAAAGCCUGAUGCAGCGACGCCGCGUGCGGGAUGAAGGCCUUCGGGUUGUAAACCGCUUUUGAUUGGGAGCAAGCGAGAGUGAGUGUACCUUUCGAAUAAGCACCGGCUAACUACGUGCCAGCAGCCGCGGUAAUACGUAGGGUGCAAGCGUUAUCCGGAAUUAUUGGGCGUAAAGAGCUCGUAGGCGGUUUGUCGCGUCUGGUGUGAAAGUCCAUCGCUUAACGGUGGAUCUGCGCCGGNUACGGGCAGGCUGGAGUGCAGUAGGGGAGACUGGAAUUCCC